rnacentral:rRNA from 1 species
UAAUACGUAGGGUGCAAGCGUUAAUCGGAAUUACUGGGCGUAAAGCGUGCGCAGGCGGUUAUGCAAGACAGAUGUGAAAUCCCCGGGCUCAACCUGGGAACUGCAUUUGUGACUGCAUGGCUUGAGUGCGGCAGAGGGAGAUGGAAUUCCGCGUGUAGCAGUGAAAUGCGUAGAUAUGCGGAGGAACACCGAUGGCGAAGGCAAUCUCCUGGGCCUGCACUGACGCUCAUGCACGAAAGCGUGGGGAGCAAACAGGAUUAGAUACCCUGGUAGUCCACGCCCUAAACGAUGUCAACUGGUUGUUGGACGGCUUGCUGUUCAGUAACGAAGCUAACGCGUGAAGUUGACCGCCUGGGGAGUACGGCCGCAAGGUUG